rnacentral:rRNA from 1 species
AACUUUCUAGAGAUAGAUUGGUGCCUUCGGGAACGCAGUGACAGGUGCUGCAUGGCCGUCGUCAGCUCGUGUCGUGAGAUGUUGGGUUAAGUCCCGUAACGAGCGCAACCCUUGUCUUUAGUUGCCAGCACGUAAAGGUGGGAACUCUAGAGAGACUGCCGGUGACAAACCGGAGGAAGGUGGGGAUGACGUCAAAUCAUCAUGCCCCUUAUGUUCUGGGCUACACACGUGCUACAAUGGCUGGUACAACGGGAGGCGAAGGAGUAAUCUGGAGCGAACCCCAAAAAGCCAGUCCCAGUUCGGAUUGUGGGCUGCAACUCGCCCACAUGAAGUUGGAGUUGCUAGUAAUCGCGAAUCAGAAUGUCGCGGUCAAUGCGUUCCCGGGUCUUGUACACACCGA